rnacentral:rRNA from 1 species
AGUGAACGCUGGCGGUAGGCCUAACACAUGCAAGUCGAACGGCAGCACAGUAAGAGCUUGCUCUUACGGGUGGCGAGUGGCGGACGGGUGAGGAAUACAUCGGAAUCUACUUUUUCGUGGGGGAUAACGUAGGGAAACUUACGCUAAUACCGCAUACGACCUACGGGUGAAAGCAGGGGAUCUUCGGACCUUGCGCGAUUGAAUGAGCCGAUGUCGGAUUAGUUAGUUGGGGGGGUACAGGCCCACCAAGGCGACGAUCCGUAGCUGGUCUGAGAGGAUGAUCGGCCACACUGGAGCUGGGACACGGUCCAGACUCCUGCGGGAGGCAGCAGUGGGGAACGUUGGACAAUGGGCGCAAGCCUGGUCCAGCCAUACCGCGUGGGUGAAGAAGGCCUUCGGGUUGUAAAGCCCUUUUGUUGGGAAAGAAAAGCAGCAGGUUAAUACCCAGCUGUUCUGACGGUACCCAAAGAAUAAGCACCGGCUAACUUCGUG